rnacentral:rRNA from 1 species
CGCACGGGUGAGUAACGCGUAUGCAACUUACCUAUCAGGAGGGGGAGUAACCCGGCGAAAGUCGGACUAAUACCGCAUGAAGCAGGGGCCCCGCAUGGGGAUAUUUGCUAAAGAUUCAUCGCUGAUAGAUAGGCAUGCGUUCCAUUAGGCAGUUGGCGGGGUAACGGCCCACCAAACCGACGAUGGAUAGGGGUUCUGAGAGGAAGGUCCCCCACAUUGGUACUGAGACACGGACCAAACUCCUACGGGAGGCAGCAUG